rnacentral:rRNA from 1 species
ACGCUGGCGGCAGGCCUACACAUGCAAUUCGAGCGGAAACGAGUUAUCUGAACCUUCGGGGAACGAUAACGGCGUCGAGCGGCGGACGGGUGAGUAAUGCCUAGGAAAUUGCCCUGAUGUGGGGGAUAACCAUUGGAAACGAUGGCUAAUACCGCAUGAUGCCUACGGGCCAAAGAGGGGGACCUUCGGGCCUCUCGCGUCAGGAUAUGCCUAGGUGGGAUUAGCUAGUUGGUGAGGUAAGGGCUCACCAAGGCGACGAUCCCUAGCUGGUCUGAGAGGAUGAUCAGCCACACUGGAACUGAGACACGGUCCAGACUCCUACGGGAGGCAGCAGUGGGGAAUAUUGCACAAUGGGCGCAAGCCUGAUGCAGCCAUGCCGCGUGUGUGAAGAAGGCCUUCGGGUUGUAAAGCACUUUCAGUCGUGAGGAAGGUGGUGUAGUUAAUAGCUGCAUUAUUUGACGUUAGCGACAGAAGAAGCACCGGCUAACUCCGUGCCAGCAGCCGCGGUAAUACGGAGGGUGCGAGCGUUAAUCGGAAUUACUGGGCGUAAAGCGCAUGCAGGUGGUUUGUUAAGUCAGAUGUGAAAGCCCGGGGCUCAACCUCGGAAUAGCAUUUGAAACUGGCAGACUAGAGUACUGUAGAGGGGGGUAGAAUUUCAGGUGUAGCGGUGAAAUGCGUAGAGAUCUGAAGGAAUACCCGGUGGCGAAGGCGGCCCCCUGGACAGAUACUGACACUCAGAUGCGAAAGCGUGGGGAGCAAACAGGAUUAGAUACCCUGGUAGUCCACGCCGUAAACGAUGUCUACUUGGAGGUUGUGGCCUUGAGCCGUGGCUUUCGGAGCUAACGCGUUAAGUAGACCGCCUGGGGAGUACGGUCGCAAGAUUAAAACUCAAAUGAAUUGACGGGGGCCCGCACAAGCGGUGGAGCAUGUGGUUUAAUUCGAUGCAACGCGAAGAACCUUACCUACUCUUGACAUCCAGAGAACUUUCCAGAGAUGGAUUGGUGCCUUCGGGAACUCUGAGACAGGUGCUGCAUGGCUGUCGUCAGCUCGUGUUGUGAAAUGUUGGGUUAAGUCCCGCAACGAGCGCAACCCUUAUCCUUGUUUGCCAGCGAGUAAUGUCGGGAACUCCAGGGAGACUGCCGGUGAUAAACCGGAGGAAGGUGGGGACGACGUCAAGUCAUCAUGGCCCUUACGAGUAGGGCUACACACGUGCUACAAUGGCGCAUACAGAGGGCGGCCAACUUGCGAAAGUGAGCGAAUCCCAAAAAGUGCGUCGUAGUCCGGAUUGGAGUCUGCAACUCGACUCCAUGAAGUCGGAAUCGCUAGUAAUCGUGGAUCAGAAUGCCACGGUGAAUACGUUCCCGGGCCUUGUACACACCGCCCGUCACACCAUGGGAGUGGGCUGCAAAAGAAGUAGGUAGUUUAACCUUCGGGGGGACGCUUACCAC